GGAUCCAGACUUUGAUCCUGGCUCAGGAUGAACGCUAGCUACAGGCUUAACACAUGCAAGUCGAGGGGAAACGAUAGAGAAAGCUUGCUUUUUCUAGGCGUCGACCGGCGCACGGGUGAGUAACGCGUAUCCAACCUGCCCAUCACUUGGGGAUAACCUUGCGAAAGUAAGACUAAUACCCAAUGAGGUCUCUAGAAGACAUCUGAAAGAGAUUAAAGAUUUAUCGGUGAUGGAUGGGGAUGCGUCUGAUUAGCUUGUUGGCGGGGUAACGGCCCACCAAGGCGACGAUCAGUAGGGGUUCUGAGAGGAAGGUCCCCCACAUUGGAACUGAGACACGGUCCAAACUCCUACGGGAGGCAGCAGUGAGGAAUAUUGGUCAAUGGACGAGAGUCUGAACCAGCCAAGUAGCGUGCAGGAAGACGGCCCUAUGGGUUGUAAACUGCUUUUAUAAGGGAAUAAAGUGAGUCUCGUGAGACUUUUUGCAUGUACCUUAUGAAUAAGGACCGGCUAACUCCGUGCCAGCAGCCGCGGUAAUACGGAAGGUCCGGGCGUUAUCCGGAUUUAUUGGGUUUAAAGGGAGCGUAGGCCGGAGAUUAAGCGUGUUGUGAAAUGUAGACGCUCAACGUCUGCACUGCAGCGCGAACUGGUUUCCUUGAGUACGCACAAAGUGGGCGGAAUUCGUGGUGUAGCGGUGAAAUGCUUAGAUAUCACGAAGAACUCCGAUUGCGAAGGCAGCUCACUGGAGCGCAACUGACGCUGAAGCUCGAAAGUGCGGGUAUCGAACAGGAUUAGAUACCCUGGUAGUCCGCACGGUAAACGAUGGAUGUCCGCUGUUGGUCUGAAUAGGUCAGCGGCCAAGCGAAAGCAUUAAGCAUCCCACCUGGGGAGUACGCCGGCAACGGUGCAACUCAAAUGAAUUGACGG
rnacentral:rRNA from 1 species